GAGGGUAGAGCCCAGUGGUAGAGCCCGUGCCUAGCACGCACAAGGUCCUGGGUUCAAUCCCCAGUACCUCCA
rfam:Camelus ferus unplaced genomic scaffold scaffold576, whole genome shotgun sequence.